UACGGAGGCAGCAGUGGGGAAUAUUGCACAAUGGGGGGAACCCUGAUGCAGCGACGCCGCGUGAGCGAAGAAGGUUUUCGAAUCGUAAAGCUCUGUCCUAUGAGAAGAUAAUGACGGUAUCAUAGGAGGAAGCCCCGGCUAAAUACGUGCCAGCAGCCGCGGUAAU
rnacentral:rRNA from 1 species